rnacentral:rRNA from 1 species
GAGAUGACUGUACCGAAUAGAAGUCGCUACUCGUGCAGCAGUCGCGUAUACGAGGACUAGCGUAGUCGAUACUGGCUAAAGAGUCGUAGUGUGAAAAAGUCGUGUGAAUCCCAGAGCUUAACUCUGGAACUGCCACCAAAACUUUUCAGCUAGAGUAUGAUAGAGGAAAGCAGAAUUUCUAGUGUAGAGGUGAAAUUCGUAGAUAUUAGAAAGAAUACCAAUUGCGAAGGCAGCUUUCUGGAUCAUUACUGACACUGAGGAACGAAAGCAUGGGUAGCGAAGAGGAUUAGAUACCCUCGUAGUCCAUGCCGUAAACGAUGUGUGUUAGACGUUGGAAAUUUAUUUUCAGUGUCGCAGCGAAAGCGAUAAACACACCGCCUGGGGAGUACGACCGCAAGGUUAAAACUCAAAUGAAUUGACGGGGACCCGCACAAGUAGUGGAGCAUGUGGUUUAAUUCGAAGAUACGCGCAGAACCUUACCAACACUUGACAUGUUCGUCGCGACUCUAAGAGAUUAGAGUUUUCGGUUCGGCCGGACGAAACACAGGUGCUGCAUGGCUGUCGUCAGCUCGUGUCGUGAGAUGUUGGGUUAAGUCCCGCAACGAGCGCAACCCUCACUUUUAGUUGCCAUCAUUAAGUUGGGCACUCUGAAAGAACUGCCAGUGAUAAGCUGGAGGAAGGUGGGGAUGACGUCAAGUCCUCAUGGCCCUUACGUGUUGGGCUACACACGUGCUACAAUGGUAUCUACAACAGGAAGCAAGACUGCGAAGUUAAGCAAAUCCCUAAAAGAUACCUCAGUUCGGAUUGCACUCUGCAACUCGAGCGCAUGAAGCUGGAAUUACUAGUAAUCGUGGAUCAGCGUGCCACGGUGAAUGCGUUCCCGGGUCUUGUACACACCGCCCGUCACACCAUGGGAGUUGGUUCUACCUUAAGGCAAGGUUUUAA